AGUGAACGCUGGCGGUAGGCCUAACACAUGCAAGUCGAACGGCAGCACAGUAAGAGCUUGCUCUUACGGGUGGCGAGUGGCGGACGGGUGAGGAAUACAUCGGAAUCUACUUUUUCGUGGGGGAUAACGUAGGGAAACUUACGAUAAUACCGCAUACGACCUACGGGUGAAAGCAGUGGAUCUUCGGACCUUGCGCGAUUGAAUGAGCCGAUGUCGGAUUAGCUAGUUGGCGGGGUAAAAGCCCACCAAGGCGACGAUCCGUAGCUGGACUGAGAGGAUGAUAAGCCACCUUGGAACGGGGACACGGUCCAGACGCCUACGGGAGGCAGCAGUGGGGAAUAUUGGACAAUGGGCGCAAGCCUGAUCCAGCCAUACCGCGUGGGUGAAGAAGGCCUUCGGGUUGUAAAGCCCUUUUGUGGGGAAAGAAAAGCAGCAGGUUAAUACCCCGCGGUUCUGACGGUACCCAAAGAAUAAGCACCGGCUAACUUCGUG
rnacentral:rRNA from 1 species